rnacentral:rRNA from 1 species
UACGAAGGGGGCUAGCGUUGCUCGGAAUGACUGGGCGUAAAGGGCUCGUAGGCGGUCUGUCACGUCGGGAGUGAAAACACGGGGCUUAACCCCGUGCCUGCUUCCGAUACGGGCAGACUAGAGGUAUGCAGGGGAGAACGGAAUUCCUGGUGUAGCGGUGAAAUGCGCAGAUAUCAGGAGGAACACCGGUGGCGAAGGCGGUUCUCUGGGCAUUACCUGACGCUGAGGAGCGAAAGUGUGGGGAGCGAACAGG